rnacentral:lncRNA from 1 species
CCACAAACCAAAUCCAAAUCCCCAGAAAGGUAAUUUUCCCUUUCAUAGUAAUUAAACCAAUAGAAACUCGUCUGCACCGCAUAAACAGUUUGCUCUGUAGAGUCAUUAUAAUUACAUUUUUCCUGAUAAACUGAAUAACAGUAUUUUCUCAUUUUAUUGGCAUUAAAUUCUGCCGAAGCCAAAAGAAGAGCAGUCGAGUCCAGCUCUAGUCUCAGCUGGAAGCAGGUUGACGUCUGCUGUCAGGUGAAGAUGUGCUUAAAGUACUUGUGGAAAACACAUAGUAACAUUUUACAACAUCGAGCUACGAGGGCAACGCACGCGCCGUAAAUCACGGAAGUUCCACCGUGAGUGGAAACACUUAAAAACGGGGUUUUGUUUGUGUUAAACAGUAAAUUUACCGAUUGUGCUGCGCGUUGUUCUCCGUCGACCUCCCACUGCAGCUUAAUGUGUUUUGGAAGAACGUCAUAAAAAUCGGAAAAAUAAAAAUAACUGUUUUGUUUUAUUGCUGCUUCAGCGAUGAAGAAGCAGAUGGUUUUAAGAGAGUGUGUUUCAACUUUAUUUCCGCUAAACCCCGGGAGAUUAGCUCGUCGUCUCUCUCGUGCGCGUGAGGCCCAAGUGAAAAUCACUUAAGCGCAGAGCUGAAAGUCCUGAACAGACGCAAGUGAACGGAGUGGACCUGGUUAAUACGGCGAUGAAUUGAGGCCAGUGCGUGGAAAGUGCAGACGCUCCCUCGGUUCCAGGGAGUUUCCAGUCGCUCCUCCCGCCGUUCUGCUGCGUGUGUCUGCAGACAGUUCAGAGGUCGGAGGUCGGGUACAUCCAGGCCCCAGUGGAUCCACGAGGGAGUCAGUGUCUGGGAACCCUUCAGCUGGAACCGAAUCAGUUGGUGAGAUAACAUUGUUAAACCGCAUCGUGGCUCCCUUCAUAACAGUCAUAAGAGGCUAAGUGUCAAUCCAGUGUAAACAUGGUAGGCAGGUGUACCAAGAGCCAAAGAUCCAUCAUCAUAUAUGCAGUGACUGUGUGCUGCUGCUGAAACCUCCAACCACCGUAAAUAACACCACAAUAAAAGCACAGGGAAGAACUGUCUUUGGUGCA